CCUACGGGCGGCAGCAGUGAGGAAUAUUGGUCAAUGGCCGGAAGGCUGAACCAGCCAAGUCGCGUGAGGGAAUAAGGCCCUAUGGGUCGUAAACCUCUUUUGUCAGGGCGCAAAGGCGGCCACGUGUGGACGAGAGGAGAGUACCUGACGAACAAGCAUCGGCUAACUCGGUGCCAGCCACCACGGGAAAACGGAGGAUGCGAGCGUUAUCCAGUGUUAUUGGGUUUGAAGGGGGCGUAGGCGGAGUGUCCAGUCAGCGGUAAAAUUUGGGGGCUCACCCCCGUCGUGCCGUGGAAACUGACGCCCUUGAGUGAGUGAGAAGUAAGCGGAAUGCGUGGUGUAGCGGUGAAAUGCAUAGAUAUCACGCAGAACGCCGAUUGCGAAGGCAGCUUACCGGCGCUCAACUGACGCUGAGGCACGAAAGUGCGGGUAUCGAACAGGAUUAGAUACCCCUGUAGUC
rnacentral:rRNA from 1 species